rnacentral:piRNA from 1 species
UAGCCUUUUUUUGGAAAGUGCCUGACUACU